rnacentral:rRNA from 1 species
CACGUAGGGCGCGAGCGUUGUCCGGAAUUAUUGGGCGUAAAGAGCUCGUAGGCGGCCUGUUGCGUCCGCUGUGAAAGCCCGGGGCUUAACCCCGGGUCGGCAGUGGAUACGGGCAGGCUAGAGGUAGGUAGGGGAGAAUGGAAUUCCCGGUGUAGCGGUGAAAUGCGCAGAUAUCGGGAGGAACACCGGUGGCGAAGGCGGCGAUCUGGGUCGAUACUGACGCUGAGGUGCGAAAGCGUGGGGAGCAAACAGG